ACCUGGUGGUGUAGACAUUUACGGAGCAGGUCCCUAAAGUGCUCCCAAGUCUUAAAAAAGAGUUCCCCAUCCAUUUGUGAGAAACUUGUGAUAGCUCUCCGAAGCU